GUCGACUGGUCAGAGGCUUUCUGUACAAGGUCAGACAGUAUCCCACCCGGCCCACUAGUGAAACUGGUUCAAUCCCAGUAUCGCGCACCACGAUUGACCUGCGGUUUCAUCCACAAAAUCUGGGCUGCGUGAACUAAAUGUGAACUGACUCGGUGCAACCACCGAAAGGUUCCU
rnacentral:ncRNA from 18 species